rnacentral:hammerhead_ribozyme from 1 species
AUACUGACAAAGAGUCCCGAAACAGGACGAAACAGCUGUCCAGUAU